CGAUGUACAGAGAAAAAAGAAAAAGGGGCAAAAAGGCAGAAGAGCUGGCGGGGUUGUUUUGUGUGAAUCAUCUGAAUAAACAGGGCUUUUUAUAUGCGUUAGCUGGUACGUAUAUGCAUAUUUGUGUGUAUUGACAAGGUGG
ensembl:ncRNA F47E1.9 ncRNA